AUUGAACGCUGGCGGGAUGCCUUACACAUGCAAGUCGAACGGAGUGGCGAACGGGUGAGUAAUGUAUCGGAACGUGCCCAGUAGAGGGGGAUAACUACGCGAAAGCGUAGCUAAUACCGCAUACUAUUGGAGCGGCCGCUAUCGGAUUAGCGAGUUGGUGUGGUAACGGCUCACCAAGGCGACGAUCCGUAGCUGGUUUGAGAGGACGACCCGCCACACUGUGACGGGACCACGGCCCAGACGCCUACGGGAGGCAGCAGUGGGGAAUGUUGGACAAUGGGGGAAACCCUGACGCAGCCAUGCCGCGUGAAUGAAGAAGGCCUUCGGGUUGUAAAGUUCUUUCGGUAGCGAGGCGUUAACUACAGAAGAAGCACCGGCUAACUCCGUGCCAGCAGCCGCGGUAAUAC
rnacentral:rRNA from 1 species